GAUGAACGCUGGCGGCGUGCCUAAUACAUGCAAGUCGAGCGAACGGACGAGAAGCUUGCUUCUCUGAUGUUAGCGGCGGACGGGUGAGUAACACGUGGAUAACCUACCUAUAAGACUGGGAUAACUUCGGGAAACCGGAGCUAAUACCGGAUAAUAUUUUGAACCGCAUGGUUCAAAAGUGAAAGACGGUCUUGCUGUCACUUAUAGAUGGAUCCGCGCUGCAUUAGCUAGUUGGUAAGGUAACGGCUUACCAAGGCAACGAUGCAUAGCCGACCUGAGAGGGAGGUUGGCCAGCUGGGAAGUGAGACAGGGUCCAGACACUUAGGGGAGGAAGCAGUAGGGAAUCUUCCGCAAUGGGGGAAAGCCUGACGGAGCAACGCCGCGUGAGUGAUGAAGGUCUUCGGAUCGUAAAACUCUGUUAUUAGGGAAGAACAUAUGUGUAAGUAACUGUGCACAUCUUGACGGUACCUAAUGAAAAAGCCACGGCUAACUACGUG
rnacentral:rRNA from 1 species